rnacentral:piRNA from 1 species
UACCACAGCCAGAUCAGGGGCAAACUAAUCC